rnacentral:lncRNA from 1 species
UUGAGCCGUAUCAGGAAUGCUGCAAGAAUGCUUCUGACUUUAGAUGAGAAAGACCCACGUCGUAUUUUUGAAGGUGAAGCACUCUUGAGGAGGAUGAAUAGAUAUGGGUUAUUGGAUGAGAGCCAGAACAAGCUCGAUUACGUCUUGUCUCUCACUGUGGAGAACUUUCUUGAACGCCGUCUUCAAACCCUUGUCUUCAAGACUGGCAUGGCUAAGUCAAUCCACCAUGCUAGAGUACUAAUUAGGCAAAGGCAUAUCAGGUAAAAUUCAUUGCCACUAAAAAUUUAUUUCCAGUUUUAGUUUCAAAGUUCAAAUGAGUAGGCUUAAUCUGUUUUUUCCUGAUAUUUGCUGUGUCUGAGUGUAUGGUAGCGGGACAGCUAAGCGAAUAUUUUUUUAGAGUUACCUGCUAUGGAAUAUGUGGCAUUUAUAAAAUGUUUGAUAGUCCAACAUUUUAAAAUCUAGCAACUGAUCUAGCCUUUGAUUACACCUUUUGAGGGACCGUUGUGAUGAGAUUUUUUUAUUGAGAUUCCUUGUAAAAGAAUCAUUUAUCACAGAUUUUUUUGCUAAAGAACCUUAAUAUAAACAUGAUGUUCGGGUGAUAAUUAUUUUUGUAGAUGUGCUUUUAUCGAAGGUGCUGGUUGAGGUCUUGGCUUUUCCUUUUCAAGUGCUCUACUGAACACUUGACUUUUUCUUUAGAGAAGUGCUUUUGACCUAAUGGUUACAGAAUAUAUCCUAAAAGCUCACCAAGAUGCCUUAACAAUGGAAUGAAAAUUCUUAUGAAGCUUCUGAGCCUCAUUUCAUAGGAUUGUUUCUUUUAACAGUGAGGUCGUUAUUUGGAAGCACUAUGCAAUGCAAAUAAUCUGUGAUCCGAUUUUCUCACAGUGAAUUAUUGAGGAGCAGUUGUCAGAAUAAUAUCUCAACAAGAAGAUAUUAUCUGUUUUAGAGUUAUUUUUGCUUCCUAAUUAAGGAAUCUGAUUAAAAUAUCUAGACUGUUUUCUUGAGAAGCUCUUGUUUAUUCACUCACUGUAAGUUUGUUGAUGCUUCUCAAAAUGGUUUGAGUUUCUAGGUGUUCGUAGAAGCUUAUUGUGUAGUUAUUAAACUUCAGCUGGUAGAUUUUUUUAUCUAGCUAGAGGAAGAAUGUGUUGGUUGUGUCAUUUAUUGCAUUAUUUGUGAGUGUUCCUUCCAAUAUCAUGUACUCAGUACCUUUUACAAAGUAGUAGUCUAUGUAUUAUUUGUUCUGUUAUUUAGUACUGAUUUGAACAUUAACAACUUCCCUUGGCCUGCACAUUUUGGGUUUUCUCAGAGUUCUUUCACUGUGGGCUAGUUAUCAUUUUAUUUGUCUGGGAGAUAUAUUGCCAUGACCUAAUGUUCUUGUCAUGCAGAGUUGGUAGACAGGUGGUGAAUGUUCCUUCUUUUAUGGUGAGACUGGACUCCCAGAAGCACAUUGACUUCUCUCUCAUCAGUCCUUUCGGUGGUGGGCGCCCUGGAAGAGUGAAGAGAAAGAACCAAAAGGCUGCUGCAAAGAAGGCAUCUGGUGGCGAUGGAGACGAGGAAGAUGAAGAAUGAGCUCUUGUGUUUUUGGAUCUUAUACUUUGCCUAUUUUGUACUUUCUUGUUUUAUGUUACCGCAAAUUUUAUGUACCUUCGCCGGAGAUGAGGAAGAUGAAGAAUGAGCUCUUGUGUUUUUGGAUCUUAUACUUUGCCUAUUUUGUACUUUCUUGUUUUAUGUUACCGCAAAUUUUAUGUACCUUCGCGUGUUAGAAAUGUUUCUCAACAGAGUUUGGAAGAAUUUUGAGUUUAAAAGUUUGCACUUGUUAAGUACUUGUUAGGCUUUGGUCUAAAUUCAUUAGUGAAUCUGCCGACCCCUGGUAUUAAGAGAAGUUUGUCUUUGACGGAAUAUUAGAUUCUUCUCCCGUCAUUGGACAAUAAAUUGUUGUUUAUUUGAAUUCAUUUCUAAAAGACAAAGCGGUCGUUAGAAAAAUAACCUAGUUUUAAGUCCGGAGUCGAAUCAUCAUCUAUUAUAACUCAUACCAAUGGCUGCAAUGCUAUUACCAAUUCAAUCGAUUUCUAGAUGCAAGAUUUUGAACAACA